UACAGAGGGUGCAAACGUUGCUCGGAAUCAUUGGGCGUAAAGCGCACGUAGGCGGCCUAGCAAGUAGGGAGUGAAAGCCCUCGGCUUAACCGAGGAAGUGCUUUCUAAACUACUAGGCUUGAAUACUGGAGAGGGUCGCGGAAUUCCCGGUGUAGAGGUGAAAUUCGUAGAUAUCGGGAGGAACUCCGGUGGCGAAGGCGAGGCGCUGGACCCUUUCUGACGCUGAGGCGCGAAAGCCAGGGGAGCAAACGGG
rnacentral:rRNA from 1 species